rnacentral:rRNA from 1 species
CCCUUAGAUGUCCUGGGCCGCACGCGCGUUACACUGAUGCAUUCAACGAGCUCAUAACCUUGGCCGAGGGGCCUGGGCAAUCUUGUUAACGUGCAUCGUGAUAGGGAUAGAUUAUUGAAAUUAUUAAUCUUGAACGAGGAAUUCCUAGUAAACGCAGAUCAUCAAUCUGCAUUGAUUACGUCCCUGCCCUUUGUACACACCGCCCGUCGCACCUACCGAUUGGAUGGUCCGGUGAAGCCUCGGGAUUGUGGUUCUUGCCGCUUUAUUGUGGCGUGACCGCGAGAACUUGUCUAAACCUUAUCAUCUAGAGGAAGGUGAAGUCGUAACA